rnacentral:rRNA from 1 species
GCGGCCUAUCAGCUUGUUGGUGAGGUAAUGGCUCACCAAGGCAACGACGGGUAGCCGGCCUGAGAGGGCGACCGGCCACACUGGGACUGAGACACGGCCCAGACUCCUACGGGAGGCAGCAGUGGGGAAUAUUUGGCAAUGGAGGAAACUCUGACCCAGCGACGCCGCGUGCGGGAUGAAGGCCUUCGGGUUGUAAACCGCUUUCAGUAGGGAAGAAGCGAAAGUGACGGUACCUACAAAAGAAGCACCGGCUAACUAUGUGCCAGCAGCCGCGGUAAUACAUAGGGUGCAAGCGUUGUCCGGAAUUAUUGGGCGUAAAGAGCUCGUAGGUCGUUUGUUACGUCGGAUGUGAAAACCUGAGGCUCAACCUCAGGCCUGCAUUCGAUACGGGCAAACUAGAGUUUGGUAGGGGAGACUGGAAUUCCU